rnacentral:rRNA from 1 species
GACGAACGCUGGCGGCGUGCUUAACACAUGCAAGUCGAACGGAAAGGCCUGCUUUCCCUUGUGGAUUGCGGGUACUCGAGUGGCGAACGGGUGAGUAACACGUGAGUGAUCUGCCCCCAACUUGGGUAUAAGCCUGGGAAACUGGAUCUAAUUCCCGAUAGGACUGCAGGGUGGUGCCUGUGGUGGAAAACGAUUUUCUAGUGGUUGGGGAUGAGCUCGCGGCCUAUCAGCUUGUUGGUGGGGUAAUGGCCUACCAAGGCGGCGACGGGUAGCCGGCCUGAGAGGGUGGACGGCCACAUUGGGACUGAGAUACGGCCCAGACUCCUACGGGAGGCAGCAGUGGGGAAUAUGGCACAAUGGGCGGAAGCCUGAUGCAGCGACGCCGCGUGGGGGAUGACGGCCUUCGGGUUGUAAACUCCUUUCGACCGCGAGGAAGCCACCUGGUUGGAAGGGUGGUGACGGUAGUGGUAGAAGAAGCACCGGCUAACUACGUG